AUGUUGUUGUACAUCAAGCAACUACUGACUGACCGAGAAUUUGGUCCUUUAUGUAGACGCUUACGACUGAAGAAAAGCAUCCAGCUUUACAUGAAGCUUAGUUGUUCCGAUUGCGUGGGCGUCAUUAAUGCGAUGAAGGGCAUGGGGAUCAACUUCAACACAGCAUUCCGAUCCACAUAUCAUCCUUGGGCACCCUUAGCUAGAGCGAGUGUUAAUUGCGCAGUUCAGUUUCACUCCAGAGAUGCUAACUACCUGUCUCAUGAACUGGUUCGGAGAGACAGGUUUACUAUGACGGGUUGUUGGCUGGAUAAGCCACCGGAGUUCAUAUUAACGCAUAACCAAUAA
rnacentral:rRNA from 1 species